rnacentral:rRNA from 1 species
UGGGGAAUAUUGCACAAUGGGGGAAACCCUGAUGCAGCGACGCCGCGUGAGCGAUGAAGGCUUUCGAGUCGUAAAGCUCUGUCCUAUGGGAAGAUAAUGACGGUACCAUAGAAGAAAGCCCCGGCUAAUUACGUGCCAGCAGCCGCGGUAAUACGUAAGGGGCGAGCGUUGUCCGGAAUUAUUGGGCGUAAAGAGUGCGUAGGCGGCAAAUUAAGUCAGAUGUGAAAACUAAGGGCUCAACCCAUAGAUUGCAUCUGAAACUGAUAUGCUUGAGUCAAGGAGAGGAAAGUGGAAUUCCUAGUGUAGCGGUGGAAUGCGUAGAUAUUAGGGGGAAUACCGGUGGCGAAGGCGACUUUCUGGACUUGAACUGACGCUGAGGCACGAAAGCGGGGGGAGCAAACAGG